rnacentral:lncRNA from 1 species
AGAAAUGUACAAUGAAUACGUUGACGUAGCGGUGCGUGUAAUACGUGAUUUUUACUUAUAUAAUUGGAUAUAUGUAUAUGUUACUAACCCAACUUUCUUUAUUGUAGGAAUAAUUGAUACCGUUGACCUUGUGCAAUGGUAAUGGGUAAAUGGCCCCCAAAAAAAUACAAAGGUGCACGUAAUAAAGGAUCGACCAAUGCAUUACAACACUUCUGAUUGUAGCAUUUUUGUCUGCAAGUACGUUGAUUACUUUGUGAGUGGCAACAUUGAUCUUACCAAAUUAAAAUGGUCAAUGCAGGAUGGAACAGUCUUUAGAUGUCGGAUAGGCUAGAGCUCUUCUAAAUGAUGUAUUGUUAUUUAAAUUGUUUUUUAAGUUUCUGGGAAUUGAAAUACUUAUGACUUUGUAGUUUGAAUUAUUAAUGGUUGUUAUUUGAAUGGUUGAAAUAGUUAAGAUUAGUAUUUCAUUGGUGUUUAACAAGUUUUGUUAAGAUAGGCAUUUGAG